CUCUAUGAGGUCUCUCUAUGGGGUCUCUCUAUGGGUCUCUCUAUGGGUCUCUAUGGGUCUCUCUAUGGGGUCUCUAUGGGUCUCUAUGGGUCUGUCUAUGGGUCACUCUAUGGGUCCCUAUGGGUCGCAGUGGGUCUCUAUGGGUCUCUCUAUGGGUCACUCUAUGGGUCGCUAUGGGUCACAGUGGGUCUCUAUGGGUCGCAGUGGGUCUCUAUGGGUCGCAGUGGGUCUCUAGGGGUCUCUCUAUGGGUCUCUCUAUGGGUCUCUCUAUGGGUCUCUAUGGGUCGCUAUGGGUCUCUAUGGGUUACUCUAUGGGUCUCUAUGGGUUGCAGUGGGUCUCUGUGGGUCACUCCAUGGGUCUCUAUGGGUCGCAGUGGGUCUCUAUGGGUCUCUAUGGGUCGCAGUGGGUCGCUAUGGGUCUCACCGUGCAGCAUCCAGACGCACUCUCCCAUGACGGAAUAGUUCCCGGCGCCGUCGCUCAAAGCCCCGCCCCCUUUCAGGCUCCACCUCUUCCCGGUGCAAGCCCCGCCCUCUGCCCCGCCCACCGCCACCAGCAGCAUUAGCCACGCCCACAAAAGGGGCGGGGCCAUGGUGCCCCGGGGGCGGGGCUUCGGGGAAGGGGCGUGGUUUAGCGGAGAGGGGGCGUGGUCUUCGCGGAGUGGGCGGGGCUUCGUGCUGGAAAGAGAGAGAGACAGGGUGGGGGUUAGGGGGCUCGGACCCAUAGCGCGCCCCAUA
rnacentral:lncRNA from 1 species